UUUGACAGGUCUGCGCAGCGCACAGACCUGCCUGUUUUCUUUAUUAAAUAAAAUGAACCAAGAGGUUCUUUCUGUUCGACAACUCGAAGACGACGCAUCGUAAAUUAUAUGCUCCCGAAAACCACCUCAACAGUUAUCAUCGAUACAAAAUAGUGGCGACGAGGACAAUUGGUAACGGUGCUUACUGGCCGCAGUAGAGGAAAUCGGCUUCGGAUCAUCUCAUCCUGGUGGAUAGUUUUCAGCGUACCGAGUUUUUCACUCCGCCGGUCUCUGGUUAUAGGGUUGCUAGUGGCAACCAGUUGGUCGAGAUAAAGUUUUUUAGCCUCGACUAAGUAUCCGUCGAUUUCUGUUGCUGUGUAGCUAUUUCAGAUACUGCUGGAACCAAAAAAGUAAACGGCCAUCUACUGGAUGUUGGUUAAAAAAAACUUUUGCCACCCGAUUGUAGCAAAUGUUUUUAUCACCCAUGGUCCCGGAUCCGGCAAAAAUACGGCGCACUUAUAUAAAGAUGAAGGAAAUUCAUGGCGUAAUGUCCUCAGAAGACUAUGUUGCACACCCUUCUGGCCAGAGGCUUUGUUCUCGGGUUGACGUUUAAAAGUGGCCACCGUGUUUCGGGAGAUAAAUGAAGAAAAAAGCUUAAAAUAAAAAG